GUAUUGAUUGCGCGUUAUCGCAAAAAUGGGGUCAUUCUAUACUUUUAAAAAGGGGGUUUGUGUGAAAACGCAAGCCCCCUCCUGGAUCGCUUCGAUCCCGAAGGGUGCCCGCGCGGUGGUGCACAAAAGGGUGAGAUGGAUUUUAUGUGAGAGGACACACUCUGACGUGCACGACUUUUGUGUUAAAAGUCAGCAACAGCCCUUGCAUGCCUCACACAUUUUGUACGAUAAUGAUCCUUCCGCAGGUUCACCUACGGAAA
rnacentral:misc_RNA from 1 species